UCCCACGUGCUCUAGUGACUAGGAUACAUGGCACUCGCCCAGGAGGCCCGGGUUCGAUUCCUGGCGUGGGAA
rnacentral:tRNA from 1 species